rnacentral:rRNA from 2 species
UCCUACGGGAGGCAGCAGUGGGGAAUUUUCCGCAAUGGGCGAAAGCCUGACGGAGCAAUACCGCGUGAGGGAGGAAGGCUCUUGGGUUGUAAACCUCUUUUCUCAGGGAAGAAUUCAAUGACGGUACCUGAGGAAUAAGCAUCGGCUAACUCCGUGCCAGCAGCCGCGGUAAUACGGAGGAUGCAAGCGUUAUCCGGAAUGAUUGGGCGUAAAGCGUCCGCAGGUGGCAUUGCAAGUCUGCUGUCAAAGGUCAGGGCUUAACCCUGAAAAGGCAGUGGAAACUGAAAUGCUGGAGUGCGGUAGGGGCAGAGGGAAUUCCCGGUGUAGCGGUGAAAUGCGUAGAGAUCGGGAAGAACACCAGUGGCGAAGGCGCUCUACUAGGCCGCAACUGACACUCAUGGACGAAAGCUAGGGGAGCGAAUGGGAUUAGAUACCCCAGUAGUCCUAGCCGUAAACGAUGGAUACUAGGCGUUGAGAGUAUCGACCCUCUCAGUGUCGUAGCUAACGCGUUAAGUACCCCGCCUGGAGACGGACGGGCG